UACGUAGGGGCCGAGCGUUGUCCGGAUUCAUUGGGCGUAAAGAGCGUGUAGGCGGCCGCUUAAGUCCUGCGUGAAAUCUCGGAGCUCAACUCCGAGCGGUCGUGGGAAACUGGGCGGCUAGAGUGCGGGAGAGGAGAGUGGAAUUCCUGGUGGUAGCGGUGAAAUGCGCAGAUAUCAGGAAGAACACCCGUGGCGAAGGCGGCUCUCUGGGACGGUACUGACGCUGAGACGCGAAAGCGUGGGGAGCGAACAGG
rnacentral:rRNA from 1 species